rnacentral:rRNA from 1 species
GACUCUCGGCAACGGAUAUCUCGGCUCUCGCAUCGAUGAAGAACGUAGCGAAAUGCGAUACUUGGUGUGAAUUGCAGAAUCCCGUGAACCAUCGAGUCUUUGAACGCAAGUUGCGCCCCAAGCCUUCUGGCCGAGGGCACGUCUGCCUGGGCGUCA